UCCCGUCGUCACCGCUUUCCGGGAGAGGGAGGAGAUCUCCAAUCGCUGAAUCAGAAUGUUCUCCGUAAUCGCUAGUAUCAUCAUUCCCAAUCCCCUCACCGACCCCUACCUACUAUUCCCUCUCAGCAUCAGACGCAGACGCACCGGCGGCGGAGGCGGUGGCAGCAGAAACAGUGGGUUCAUGCCGAAAGCCACCUACAGCGCCACCACCCCCCUCUUCCCCCGGCUCUAUCUGCAACCCAUGGUGCCGUAUGUGGCGCACCCCACGCCACCAUUGCCCCACCAUCAGUACUUUCCUCAUCCCCCUCUUCCCGCGGCUCAGCACGUGCGGCGGCCGGCGCCUCAUCAGCAUUGUCUUCCACCAAAUCCGUAGCAAACCGCUUCCCUUCUCAGCUUAUUCUCCGCCGCCUCAGCAGAAGCAGAAAUGCCAAAGUAUUUAAGCUGUUGAAGAAGUUGUUGGUGUUUGGCCAUCAGUGGUGUGAGGUUUCGUUUUGCUUCACAUGUGGGGAUGAAAACUGAACCUACACAAAGGAGGCUGAGCAGCAACAGCAGCAUCUCAGAAAAAGCCAUUCCAACCUGCAAGUUUGUAUGAUUCGUUAGGUCUUCCCUUCUUUUUCCCCAGAGGACUAUGUUUCCACCUCUCUUUUAUUAUUACAGUGUUUUCUUUCUUUUUCAAAAAAAGGAAAAAUUCAUUAAAUCAAAUGUAAAACACUAUCUCCUCUCAUAUCAGAUGAGAUCAAAACAUUUAAAUUUGGAAGAAGAUCCCCCUUUCAAAAUCUGUGGUAUCUAUGUGUCCUGACAAAAUUGGCUGACCAGUUAGCAGAAUGAUUGCUUUCCCUAAACAUAUGAUUGGAAUAACAGACUGCCAAUACUUACACUUUUUUCUUCUUUUCAUCCCAACUCAUCCCUUUUGGAAUCAAACCAGAAGAAAGCCUCAUUUCAAUUUAGGACAUCUUCAUCCUAAUCUUUUUCUUUAUCCUAAUCGCUUUUAUAAUGUGAUUUACAUCAUAAUGGUGUAUUUCUAGAAUAGUUUGUCUCUCUGAACAAAAUAUCAUGUUGGAUUUGCAUUUGAAGUGUUACAACAGUGCCAUCAAUAUCUAUUAACAUCCUUUAGACCCACCUAACUCUUGGUGUACUAAAUACUCUGUGGAAUCUUUAGCUGAAAAGCAAUUUGCAGCGUUCUAAUUUAUUUUGAGAAAUGUUGCAGGUGCAAUUUCUUCUGACUAUUUCAUCAAGAAUCAGUAAGCUUGGCAUCAAAUUGCUCAAGCUAGAUUAGAUUACUUUUGGCUGACUUUUUUUUGUUUUUUUUUCAUACUUCCCAUUGGGAAAUCAAUGGCAAGAUAAUGCAAACCAACCUAAAAGUUAAUGAACAGCUUACCAGCUCCUGUGGUGCGACCAUUUUCUUCUAGUGCAGGCCUUCUCUGCAAAGCCAUCCAAAGAAAACACAGAAGGCUCUCGAAACAGCUGCUCUGACCGCCUGUGCAGGAGGGGCGAUGUCUCCGGCGAGGAGUGGUUAGGGGUCGUGAAGGGCGGCGAUGGCGAUGGCGAAGGCGAAAACGGAUACUUGCGGUUACCUGGUCCUACACUGAUCGGAAGGGGAGAAGGUGGUGUUGGAGGAGAAGAUGAGGGUGAGGCCAAAUAAGGCCUCAUUGGCACUAAACCUUUUCGAGUGGAGAACUCAGAGAAAGAAAACAAAACAAUCUAAUAAUCUGGUGUGCAGUUGUUGUUGUUGCUAUCUUUUGUCUGCCUAAAUCUCAGAAGCUUGGUUAACUGCCAGUCCAA